CCUACGGGUGGUAGCAGUGGGGAAUAUUGCGCAAUGGGGGCAACCCUGACGCAGCAACGCCGCGUGAUUGAAGAAGGCCUUCGGGUUGUAAAGAUCUUUAAUCGGGGACGAAUUUUGACGGUACCCGAAGAAUAAGCUCCGGCUAACUACGUGCCAGCAGCCGCGGUAAUACGUAGGGAGCAAGCGUUAUCCGGAUUUACUGGGUGUAAAGGGCGUGUAGGCGGGCAUGCAAGCCAGAAGUGAAAUCUGGGGGCUUAACCCCCAAACUGCUUUUGGAACUGCGUGUCUUGAGUGAUGGAGAGGCAGGCGGAAUUCCCAGUGUAGCGGUGAAAUGCGUAGAUAUUGGGAGGAACACCAGUGGCGAAGGCAGUUCACUGGACUGCAACUGACACUGAGGCUCGAAAGUGUGGGUAUCAAACAGGAUUAGAUACCCCAGUAGUC
rnacentral:rRNA from 1 species